AUGACUUGUAUUCUACUAUGCAAUGCUUAAUGUAUUUUUUUCAGUAGCCUGUUGGUAAGUACAAUUGCCUUCUUUAAUUUUCAUAUUGAACUGUUUUGAUGAUGUGUAUACUGCUAUGCAAUGCUUAAUGUUUUUUUCAUUUCAGUAUGGCUGUGGUAAGUACACAAACUUUCUUUAAUUUUCAUAUUGAACUGUUUUGAUGACCUGUAUUUUGCAUUGUAAAAUGUGUUUCUUUUUCAUUUCAGUAUGGCUGUGGUAAGUACACUAACUUUCUUUAAUUUUCAUAUUGAACUGUUUUGAUGACUUGUAUUCUGCUAAACAAAAUGUGCUUUUUUCAAUUUCAGGUCAGCAAUGGUAAGUAGAUUGUGUUUCUUUAUGUAUAAUUGUGUAUACAAAGUUUUUUUUUCAUCAUAGCAUGUCUUUUAUAUUUAUGCUUCGUGUAAGUAAAAUGUUCAUAAAUCAUUCUUAUCUUCAAACUAAAAAUGUAUUGUGCUAUGCAAAAUAUCUGUAUGUUUUCAGUUGCCAGAGGUGAGUACCAUUACAGUUGAAAAGUUAGUUUUGUUUAGUUAAAGUUUUGGUUCACAGUUCUGUUUGUUAUUUGGCAAAAUUUACAUGUAUGCAUUGAGUCUUGAUUUCAGCUCGAUUGUGGACUGAAGAAGAUUGCCAGCAGAGGGAUUGGAUACAAAAUACAAACCCUACUACAAGACGAGUGUUUUCUACUACUAGACGUGUCAGGUUUACUUCCAGGCGAGCAGUGACAACAAGGCGCCUUUGUGGAAACAGCAAAACAAACAACUCUACUGCAAGACGAGCAGUAACAGCAAGGCGCCUGAACAUGCAACACAAUACAAAAAAUGCCAAUUUGCAAACCUUGAUGUGGACACCGAGUAGUCAAUACAUACGUGUGGCGUAUAGCUGCGACAAAACCGUGGGUCCAUCGCACCGAUAACUUGAACAUUGGCCCGUGUAUGGACAUCAGUGCAACUUUGUGAAUCCAUGUAUCUUUGUGAAUCCAUGUAACAUUGCGAAUGUGUGUCGAUCGAAAAAUGUGUACAUUCUGAACUGAACAGAACUCGGUGUUGCAAGUGGCAAGUGUUGACAGUGUGUAUGUUUAUGUUUAUGUUUUUACAUGAAAACUAAAGGAGAUUGUUCUCCUACCUUUUUUUUCCUUGUUUUAUUGCGCUGGCCAGCAAUAUUGAUGUAUUGAUGUAUGUGUUUGUGUUUAAACUAUGCAAUACCAAAAUCAAACAAAAAAUAAACAUUAACAGUCAUUAACUGUGUUUGGGCGGCCGAGGGGUUUAAGACUCCACAAGUGUGAAGCGCACUGAUAGCACUUGGGGGUGAACACCUCGGUAUUUCGGUGCUAAAAUGUUUUCACGGUGCUUAUCUUGACGCACUGUUAAGACUACCAACCAGUUAAUGAUUGCUUCAUCUUUAAACAAAAAGUAAGUCUCUACUUUGGCACAAGAGACUCCAAGUACCAAAUACCAACAAUUAAAAAGCAGACGUUUUUCAAAACUAUGAUCGCUGAGAUUGAUAGUCAGAUGGAGUCCUGCCCAUUUAGCUGUGUAGCGGUCUAGGGCGGGG